GGAGCUACAGAACAUUCUGUGAGCCACGUCCAUGUGCGAGUGGGUCUCGGAGGGCGGUGAGACCUGGGGACAGUUCAGCCACUCCUAUGUUUUCAGCCUAAAGGAGAGGACCUUGACCGGGCCUGGCCAACAGUGGACCUGAAGAGCCACUUUGCUGUGCUGGGAAGCGACUGGGCGCGUUAUUCUCAUGGUAUGAGUCACACAGACAGGCACCCAAGUGCAUGGAGGGCGGUUGGCCGGCUCCGGGGAGGGGCUGAGCCGGGUCCCUGAGGGCC